CGAAGGGGGCUAGCGUUGUUCGGAAUCACUGGGCGUAAAGGGCGCGUAGGCGGCCGAUCAAGUCGGGGGUGAAAGCCUGUGGCUCAACCACAGAAUUGCCUUCGAUACUGUUUGGCUUGAGACCGGAAGAGGUUAGUGGAACUGCGAGUGUAGAGGUGAAAUUCGUAGAUAUUCGCAAGAACACCAGUGGCGAAGGCGGCUGACUGGUCCGGUUCUGACGCUGAGGCGCGAAAGCGUGGGGAGCAGACAGGAUUAGAUACCCUGGUAGUCCACGCCGUAAACGAUGAAUGCCAGCCGUUGGCGAGCUUGCUCGUCAGUGGCGCAGCUAACGCUUUAAGCAUUCCGCCUGGGGAGUACGGUCGCAAGAUUA
rnacentral:rRNA from 1 species